UAAGACGUAGGAUGCAAGCGUUGUCCGGAUUUAUUGGGCGUAAAGAGUUCGUAGGUGGUUUGUUAAGUUUGGUGUUAAAGAACGGGGCCUAACCCCGGUAGUGCACUGAAUACUGGCAGACUUGAGUGCGGUAGAGGUAAGUGGAAUUCCAAGUGUAGCGGUGAAAUGCAUAGAUAUUUGGAAGAACACCGGUGGCGUAAGCGACUUACUGGGCCGUAACUGACACUGAGGAACGAAAGCCGGGGUAGCGAAUGGGAUUAGAUACCCCAGUAGUCCCGGCUGUAAACGAUGGAUACUAGGCGUUGUGGGUAUCGACCCCCGCAGUGCCGUAGCUAACGCGAUAAGUAUCCCGCCUGAGUAGUACGGCCGCAAGGUUG
rnacentral:rRNA from 1 species